CUGCACAAUGGAGUCCCUGUCCCAGCUUAUCUGUGGGCUCAUCAUGCUUUUGGUCCCAGGUUCUAGGGGGGAAAUUGUGCUGACCCAGUCUCCAGCUUCAGUGUCUGUGACCCCAGGAGACAGAGUCACCAUCAGCUGCAAGGCCAGUCAGAGUCUCAAGCACAGUGAUGGAAAGACUUACCUGUCCUGGGUCCAACACAAACCUGGACAAUCUCCUCGGGGUCUCAUUUACUAUGUUUCCAACCUGUACUCAGGAGUCCCUGCCAGGUUCAGUGGCAGUGGUGCUGAGAAGGAUUUUACCCUCACAAUCAGCAGUGUGGAGCCUGAGGAUGUGGCACAUUAUUACUGUGCUCAAUUUUCUUUUUAUCCUCCCACAGUGUUACAUCCCCAAACAAAAACCUCCCCAGGUCUAGGGUCCUGUGCAGCCAUUGUGCUGACCCAAUCUCCAGCUUCUCUGUCUGUUAGUCCUGAAGAAAAAUUCACCAUCAGCUGCAAGACCAGUCAGCAUAUUAGCCAUUAUUUAGCCUGGUACCAGCAGCCACCAGGACAGUUUCCCAAGAUCCUGAUCUAUGGUGCUUUCAACCUGCACUCUGCAGUCCCUGCCCGAUUGAGUGGCAGUGGGUCUGGGAUGUGUUUUACUCUCGUGAUCAGCAGUGUGGAGACUGAAGAUGUUGGACAUUACUACUAUCAGCAGAGCCCAGGGGAGGGAUUGGCCUAA